rnacentral:misc_RNA from 1 species
AAAAAUUCAAUAUGAUUGACCAUUAAAAGUUAAGUAGCCAGUUACUGUUUUUGUUUUAUUUUUCCGCUUUACGAUGUUUUAAUCAUUAUUAUUAGUUUACUGUUUAAGUAUUGUUUUAAGUACUUUUUUUGUGUACUAUUUAAGCGUUCUUUCAAGAGUGUUGUACAGCAAUAGUAUAUUUGUAUUACACUGACGUGGACUGUAUGUAUAGACUUUUUUUCCAUUUAUUAAAAUGGACGACAAUGAUUUGGAAGUACUUGAUUGUUCCGAAACACCUCGUGAAACACCGGAACCAUCUGAACGGACGUCAAAUAUUGCUGUAGACUUGGCUAUGAGUCCAGCCAGCGUGUUGGGCAGUCGUAGACCAUCGAUUGAUGGGAUGUCCAGCACGUGUACAUCACAGUCAGAAGUACGCUCAUUUAAAGAUCGUCUCAGAGAACAUGUUAAUCAAGUCAAGGAAAGAGCCUCCAACACGGUGGUAGUGGAACAAACUAAAACUAAAGUUCAACAAAAUAUCAAACAACCUGCUGAACGUCUAGCCCAAUUGAUGAGUUCAGAAAAUCAGGCAAUUGCUGCUGCAUUAGAGAAACAUGAAAAGGAUAAGAUCAGUAAAAAUGUGGUCAUAAACAAUAUGCAAGAGAUAGAUCAUGAAAUUGAAAGCUACAAUUUUUUCACUAAAGUAUGGGAUCUUCCUUCUAAAACUGAAGAAAUACAUGAAAAAUCAGCCGAAUCUAGCGAUGCAGAAGUUGGAUUUUCCAAUGAAGAAAAUAAAAAACUAGUCACAGAAGAUUAUUUAGGACUGACAGAUGGGGAGGAUGUCGAUGUCUUAGAUCAUUCGUUAGUACCAUUUUUGGAAACAUCAAUAAAAAUAAAAGAAGCAGCUGAGAAAAUUUAUUUUAUUCCAGAUGGAUCACAAGUGGAUCUUGCAAAACGGCUGAAUUCGAGACAACCAAGAUAUCUAGAGAGAGAAGGAAUUUAUGUUGGUACAUAUCCUCCAACCCAUGAAAAAUGUCUAAAUAAACUUCAACAAAGACUUCUUAAGGCUAAUGAAUUCCAUUGGUUUGGUGAAGAUGGUGAACCAAUUAGAUUAGCUGAUCCUUUGACUAGCCCAUCUAGCAAUUUUUUAGACUCAACUGAAAACAAUGGGUAUUUGGAUAUUAAGUACAUAAGCGCAAUGCCAUUUAAGAGCCCCUACAGUUUCAACGAUGACUCCCAAGAUUCUAAAGAAAUAAAAUUUCUUUUAGAAUUAGAAAUUUCAAAAAUUCAGUUUAGUCAUCAUGCUCUUUUUAGUCGACAACAUGUUUUAGACAAGCGAUUGUUACAACUGUAUGAUAAAUAUAAGUGUCGUCAAGAUAUUGCAAGAACAAAAAUGUUGGCUGGAAGGUUGGAGGCGUUACGCAAUGCUAAAGAUACUUUGGUUAAGGUUAUGGCAGAAGAAAACAAUAAAGAUUUGCUGGAAAAUCAUGAAAAUCGUUUACAUAGGUAUAAAACAGAAAUUAAAGAAACUCGAGCUCAGAGAUUGCUGGAAGGCAAAUCUGAUCGAUCUCUAGUAUCUAAUAUUUUGGAAACUUGGAGAGACUUAAAAAAAUUAAGAGAAAGGCAAGAAUAUGUUGUUACUAGCACUAAAUUGGAAAUAAUUGUUGAUGAUCACGAUAAUACUGAGGAAUGGGAAACAGAGUUCAACAGGUUAGUAGCAGAGACUCUUGAGGAAAUGGGGGAGAAAAAAAUUGAAACUAAUAUUCCUAAAGUCCGAGAUCAGGUGUUCAGUAUUCUCUCAGAUUCAUUGAGAUCACCAGGAGAACCGAUUAUUACAUUUAUUAUGUCUAAAAUUGAACCUACUUCUGAAGAUUCUAUUACUGCAAAAGACGAGCUUCAACGAAGAUUGACAUUGUCUAAAUAUUCAAUUUGGUUUGAUGUGAUAUUCAAUGGUCAUAUAGUAUGUGAAUCUACUUUGCUACCAAUCGAUGACAGUUUUUCUGUUGAUGUUAAUCAGAAAUUUGUUGUUGAAAUUCAUCAGUGGCCUAAUACAUUGUCAUUGAACAUACAUUGCGAAAACCUCAGUUCAAAAAAUAUGUUUACAAAAAAUCCUAUAGCAGAACUUUACAUACCAUUUCCCUUGAGCAAUACUACAUUAGAUGUUGUUGAUAUAGAAAACUUGGAGUUCAGUUGUUUUGGCAAUCAGAGCUUUCAAAAUGCUGGUGUUGGUAGUGGUGUGGAAUUUAAAGUAUUUCCAGAAGACAUGGAAACUCAAUGUUUGUAUACAUCUGGUGAAGUUUUGUGUAAGGCUGGUUGGGGCACAUUUAAUGAUAAAAUAUUAUGCCCUCCUGAAAAUUACUUUAAUAGAAUUUAUUCACAAAAUACCAAUAUUUUUUCAACUAAAACAGAGAAGAUUUUGAGUUUGAUGAAUGAUUUGCAUCCAGAUCCAAACGAUCCAAACAAUGUAUCAUUUUUUGAGGCUCUAAAAAAUGUCGAUGAAGAAAUGAUUUCUAAAAUGAAUUCAAAGUUUAGUGUUAACAUAUAUAAAAAAAUGUUGGAAUUUUGUUCAGAAGAAGAAUUAGAUUCUAAUCCUAGGCUAAAGUUAUUAAAACUACGUGAUCGCGGAGAAAUAGAAUUUAGAAUGGCCAAAGCUGUUCCAUUAAAAGAAUGGCUUAUACCAAAAGACAUAUUUAAUGAAUUUGAAAAUCGUGUGGCAACUUCUGAGCUAGCACUUGAAGUUGCUGGUCUUGGACCUUUGGAAACUAGUAGAAUCUGGGGGCGUUAUUCAGUUAUCAAACUUUAUGACAAGAUCCUAAAGCAAUGUAAGCUUGGUAAUAGGAAUAAAAUAACCAGAGACAUCAUUGUUGAAGACACUGUACCUGACAUUGGAACCUUAGGUUUGACAUUCAUGAAAAUGUUUCAGCCCAAACGACCAUUACGUCCUAAAAGAAAAGAAAGAAAGAAAAUACCUGCUAAAAGCUUAUCAGGACAAGAAAUCAAAGUUGUUAUCAAUGUUAUGAGAGCUUUUGAGGUACCCGUGAGAAAAAAUUCUGAUAUGAUGAUGGGAGAUAUAGCAAUGAUUCCAGUACAGCCAUUUAUUGAAAUAUCUUUUAAGAAUCAAACAAGUAGAACAACUACAGCUGAAGGCUCUAAUCCAACAUGGAACCAAGAUUUACAACUGAUUGUGAGAUCAAAUUCAGUUGAUUUAUGUCCUAACGAAGUUCAAUCUAUUGAUGACUGCAUUCAUAUAAAUAUGUAUGAUGAAAUAGUUAUUGAUAUACUAGAAGAUGGUAGAACCCGAGAAACAAACAUACAUCAACGUUUGGAGAGACAUUGGUUAGGAAGUUGUGUAAUACCUAUAUCAGCAUUAUUCAAUAGCUCUCAAAUUGAGGGAAUAUUUCAAAUGAACACACCUAGACACCUCUUGGGAUAUGAAAGACUUGUGUCAAAUUCUGAAAGCUCUCAUUAUAGGAACUCAACUUUUCUGAGCUUAUUUAUUAUGGUCCAGCCUCCACUGCAUCAUCCUGAACCUAUUAUGGAAAGAUUGGACUGCAGCGAAUCGUUUAAUUUUGAGCGAUAUUUAGAGUAUUGGUCUGCAGAAGGGGCUAAACAGUUUCCCCGAAGGCCCGUGAAAACAUUAGUGAUACACUGCAGCGGUAAAUCUGUUUGUGUAACUAGAUUCUUUAGGCCGUUGCCGCUCCCUGCAACUGUUGGGCUUGCUGUUCGGCGGCGGUUCCGGUAUCGAUCAUGGUCUGUUGCUGUGCUGUUACUUCGCCAAGCUAAAUAUCCGGUCUUGGCUGCUGCUGGGCACCGGCGUAUCCCGGGGCGAAGCCGCUUACGUGCUAACAUCGCGCCCGGCGCCUGACCAACCGACGGCCGGGCCUGUGUACGACAUCUGGGACCCGCUCACCGGUCAGAAGUACUCUACUUGCGAUAGCUUUUCACCCGUACAGGAAGCAUACUGUUUGAUUAAUGCUGAAAAUAUCUGGCUGAAUGUCCAGUACGAGAAAUCUGUGCCCAGGACCCGGUGGGACGUGACUCAGACACGGGACUGGAACCCAGCUUUCGGUCGAUAUCAGGCGGCGCCCACGGUAGCAGGUUCCGUGCAGCCAGACACUG